rnacentral:rRNA from 1 species
UACGUAGGUGGCGAGCGUUGUCCGGAUUUACUGGGCGUAAAGGGCGUGCAGGCGGUUUGUUAAGUGCAGGGUGAAAGCUCCCGGCUCAACUGGGAGAGGUCCUUGCAUACUGGCGAACUCGAGGGAGGCAGAGGAAAGUGGAAUUCCCGGUGUAGUGGUGGAAUGCGUAGAGAUCGGGAAGAACAUCAGUGGCGAAGGCGGCCUGCUGGGCUGUUGCUGACGCUGAGGCGCGACAGCGUGGGGAGCAAACAGG